rnacentral:rRNA from 1 species
UAGGGAAUCUUCGGCAAUGGACGAAAGUCUGACCGAGCAACGCCGCGUGAGUGAAGAAGGUUUUCGGAUCGUAAAACUCUGUUGUUAGAGAAGAACAAGGACGUUAGUAACUGAACGUCCCCUGACGGUAUCUAACCAGAAAGCCACCGCUAACUACGUGCCAGCAGCCGCGGUAAUACGUAGGUGGCAAGCGUUGUCCGGAUUUAUUGGGCGUAAAGCGAGCGCAGGCGGUUUCUUAAGUCUGAUGUGAAAGCCCCCGGCUCAACCGGGGAGGGUCAUUGGAAACUGGGAGACUUGAGUGCAGAAGAGGAGAGUGGAAUUCCAUGUGUAGCGGUGAAAUGCGUAGAUAUAUGGAGGAACACCAGUGGCGAAGGCGGCUCUCUGGUCUGUAACUGACGCUGAGGCUCGAAAGCGUGGGGAGCAAACAGG